rnacentral:rRNA from 1 species
AACGAGCGCUGGCGGCAGGCUUAACACAUGCAAGUCGAACGCAUCCUUCGGGGUGAGUGGCAGACGGGUGAGUAACGCGUGGGAACGUGCCCUUCAGUUCGGGAUAACCCAGGGAAACUUGGGCUAAUACCGGAUACGUGCGAGAGCAGAAAGAUUUAUCGCUGAAGGAUCGGCCCGCGUCUGAUUAGCUAGUUGGUGGGGUAAUGGCCCACCAAGGCGACGAUCAGUAGCUGGUCUGAGAGGAUGAUCAGCCACAUUGGGACUGAGACACGGCCCAAACUCCUACGGGAGGCAGCAGUGGGGAAUAUUGGACAAUGGGCGCAAGCCUGAUCCAGCCAUGCCGCGUGGGUGAUGAAGGCCUUAGGGUUGUAAAGCUCUUUCGUCCGGGACGAUAAUGACGGUACCGGAAGAAGAAGCCCCGGCUAACUUCGUGCCAGCCGCCGCGGUAAAAC